rnacentral:rRNA from 1 species
CAGUUUGACUGGGGCGGUCUCCUCCUAAAAGGUAACGGAGGCGCCCAAAGGUUCCCUCAGAAUGGUUGGAAAUCAUUCGCAGAGUGUAAAGGCACAAGGGAGCUUGACUGCGAGACCUACAAGUCGACAGGGACGAAAGUCGGGCUUAGUGAUCCGGUGGUUCCGCAUGGAAGGGCCAUCGCUCAACGGAUAAAGCUACCCCGGGGAUAACAGGCUUAUCUCCCCCAAGAGUCCACAUCGACGGGGAGGUUUGG